rnacentral:rRNA from 1 species
AGGGCACCACCAGGAGUGGAGCCUGCGGCUUAAUUUGACUCAACACGGGAAAACUUACCCGGCCCGGACACUGGAAGGAUUGACAGAUUGAGAGCUCUUUCUUGAUUCAGUGGGUGGUGGUGCAUGGCCGUUCUUAGUUGGUGGAGCGAUUUGUCUGGUUAAUUCCGAUAACGAACGAGACUCUAGCCUACUAAAUAGACCAGUGGCUUCCUAAAACACGUCACUGGCCGCUUCUUAGAGGGACAGGCGGCGGUUCAGCCGCACGAAACAGAGCAAUAACAGGUCUGUGAUGCCCUUAGAUGUCCGGGGCCGCACGCGCGCUACACUGAAGUGAUCAGCGUGCUUGAGUGAACCUGGUCGGCCACGACUGGGUAACCCAAUGAACCUUCUUCGUGAUUGGGAUAGGGGAUUGUAAUUAUUCCCCUUGAACGAGGAAUUCCCAGUAAGCGCGAGUCAUAAGCUCGCGUUGAUUACGUCCCUGCCCUUUGUACACACCGCCCGUCGCUACUACCGAUUGAA